rnacentral:lncRNA from 1 species
AACUAAUCUAAUUUACACGCAGGAGAAUUCAAAUAAGUACAACUGGGCAUGAAAAUUGUCUUGACCAACUGAUCUAAUUUACAUAUGCGGGCUCUAAAACACACAAAGGGUUUUUGUUAUCAGAGACAAAAGAGUAUUGAGUUGCUUACUGUUGAAGGGCAGAGACAGCACUGUGAACUUCAUCCUUGGAAGGAACAGGUCCAAGAACAAAAUCAUCAAGAAACCCAUGUGAAACUCUCUCAUCAUCCUCACUGCUAACGCCAUUAUCCACAGUCACCCAAUCAAAAUCAUCAAGGCGAGGGGAAGAAGGCCAGCCGGGCGUGGCACAAUUGGAAGCCAGAGGAUUAUUGCACGAGGCAAAAGGUGAGGUGGGUGAGGAGAGAGAGAGGUUGUGGGAAGAACUGGGCUUCUGGGUGUGCCUAGAAGUGGAAGUGGUGGUGGUGGUAUUCGCAGUAGCAGGAGAACUGGAAGAAGAAGAAGGGGUUCUUGAAUUGGUGGGCCACCAGUAACAGUUCUGGUGACUGCUGCCCUACUCACAGUCCUAAACACGCUUCCUCCUCCACCACCUCCGCCCAUGCUUCUUCCACCAAACAUCAUUGAAAUUCUUUAUGGUUUUUUUUUAUGUCAUCUGCCCGGCACAGAAUAGUUUUUCAUUAGAUUUCAUCUCCCACGAAUACGAGCUAGAUUCAAGUACCAUGAAUGAGAACAUAAUGUUCAUUUUUGUGCUUACGAUACGCAGGUUGCACCUGGUUCAGAUAGCAAGUUUGAUCAAGAUGUUGCUGUAGCCAACACUGUAGAGAAGAAAUGCACCGUUCUCGGAGAGCUACGCCAGCGAGCUGUUGUAAUUCCUGAUGUGGAUUCCCUCCUAAAUGUGAUUAACAGGAAUUGAAUGCGGAUGUCACAAAAAUUAUGUGCAUUUUGAGGUGUAAUGGGGGAAUUAUGCACAUGAGAAAGCUGGAAAUGGUAGAUAUGUAGAGGAAAAUCUUGAGGAGUAAAUAUGUUGCUAGAAUUACUGAAGCCUGAAGGUGCUAAGUGUAUGGAAAUGUAAGCGGUUGUAGGUGAAAAUUAGUAGGUCAGACAGAAAAAUUCAUCUGGUUAAACGGUUUUGCUGACUCCAUGUGGUUAAACAGUUAAUGUUUGAAGUUUUUUCAGGUGAAUCCAUCUCUUUCAGGAUAACUGUUUUUCUUUUUACUGAGUCCAUGUGGUUAAACAGUUUUAUUGUUUGCAUGGAAAGGUAUAGUGUAGAUCACUAUAUUCUAAAACGCGACCCCAAAUCAAUAAGGUUCUCUACUUUGCAAGGGUCAGGAGAGAACGUCUAUUGUACGCAGGUUUAUCAGAGGUUGUUUCCACAACUUGAACUUAUAACCUUUUGAUCACAAAAGAACAACCUUUUGUUUUGUGUCAAGGCUCGCCCUCUAACAAAGCUAUAUUUUAAUCUACUUAAAUCUACGGGUAGGGAACUCGAACUCGGAUAAAUCUACCUGUAGGGAAUUCGAACUCGAAUAAAUAGUGAUCAGACGUACUUGGCCUUUCAAGUGCAUCCCAUAAAAAGAAAAUUAACCUCAACUAUUCGGUAAUUACCGUUUCGGUUGCAAUUGUUACCAAAAGAUUCAGGUGGCAAUGCAAAAAUUUAAGAUCUCUGAAAAAAAGGUGAACUGAUAAUAUUACAAAAAAACAUACCUAAUAUCCAUAAAUCCCCACAUUGCAGGCAACCUGCUAACUCCAAUGUACCAAGCACUGGAAGUUCAUAACAAAACGUAGUUUGAAACACAGAAUGCCUAACAAUGGGGUGGAAAAAUUCAUCUGCAGGUCAUCCAAUGGAGAUAUGCUGGUGAUGUCGUCGGAUUAGGGUCAGGCCUUGUGGGUUCGAGUAACCACCACAAUCAACAGGACCACAACGGAGAGCAUGAACGAUUUUUUCAGCCUGUCCUCAAAGCGAUUGCUGGGUUCUGCUUUCGCGUUUUCCCUGCUUGGAGGUUGAAAUAAGUCGCCCAUGAUCUUUGUAAUUUUCUCGACUGCUUCCAUGACUUUUGCCAUGGUGUUUUGAAAGAUCCACUUGACAAUGUUUGUUGCUUUAUCGUUAUCAUCAGAAUUCUCAUCUGGACUCUCGGAUUUAUUGUCUUCAUCUGCGUAUAUGAUGAAAAAAUCACAUCGAAACUAGCAUUAGUCACGAGCACAUUCCUUCAACCUUCGAGCAUUGACAAGGUCUUUCACUCUCAACUAUUACAUACUUUUCAGCUGCUUAGUAUAUUGCUCUCUUUUGGAUUUUCUAGUACAUUGCUCUAACUUAUAAUUUCAUCUAACUAAACCCAGCAAGAAAACACGUAAAAGAGGCAUCAACAUCGAACAAAAAAAGCUCGUGAAUACAGUACGAUAUUUCUCAAAUCUUGAUUCAAUGCUAGAGUAUCUUCCUUAUAAAUUCAAUGAACUGUAGUCUAUAGAAUAUAGUCCUUGCUCAAAUCCAAAUCAUACCAACCUGCAUAGAAGGAUUCCCGGAGCUCCCGCACCACCUCGUUGUUCAUCACCGCAUCCCAAACUGCUCUAUCAGAUGACAAUGAGAUCACCAUUCUCUGCACAACCAAAAACCCUUAAGACAUAAUUAUCAAAAGUUCAUAUGAGAUUAGACAAUACAAAGCAGAUGCUAUUAUAUUUCAUCCUCUGCAAUACAGAAAUUAAGAAAAAAGAACACCUUUCUGGAAUAAUUUGCAAAUUAAAUUUUUUUUUAACAGAGUCAAUGGUCUGAAAUUCAAAAUAAAAUUCAGAAAAAAUAUAUGAAAAAAAAAGACUUGUUCUGGUAAAAGUAAAAUGGUCAACAAAGAAAGGGACCUGCACAGAAGUCUCGGUCUGCAAGAGAUGGAAAGCAUCAUAAACUCUUUCAGAACCAUAGGACUGCAACAUCUUUGAAUUAUUAGAAAGAUUGGCAGAAGGCUCCAUCCAAUCUAAUUCUGACCCAGCUGAAGAUGCUGGGUGCACAAACCCAGCAGAAGCACUAGUAAUUUGAUCAUCCACAGCUCUGUCUGACUCAGAACCAAACUUAUCCCUGAUGAAGGGACUGAUAACCCUACCAAUCACAAAACCCCUUUUCAUCAAACAAGGCGUGAUUAGUAUAAAAUGCAGCAAGGCAGGCGUUAAUCUUUGUUUUUAUUCGACAAGAUGAUAAAACUAAUCUAAUUUGUGGGGUGCGAGAUUCAAACUCGAAUGCAAUAGGUCAUGCACAGCUGCCCUCACCAACUAAACCGACCCACAUCUGCCGGUGGAAAAAAUAUUUUUAUGAUAAAAUUAUAAACUAAUCUAAUUUACACGCAGGAGAAUUCAAAUAAGUACAACUGGGCAUGAAAAUUGUCUUGACCAACUGAUGUAAUUUACAUAUGCGGGCUCUAAAACACAUAAGGGGUUUUUGUUAUCAGAGACAAAAGAGUAUUGAGUUGCUUACUGUUGAAGGGCAGAGACAGCACUGUGAACUUCAUCCUUGGAAGGAACAGGUCCAAGAACAAAAUCAUCAAGAAACCCAUGUGAAACUCUCUCAUCAUCCUCACUGCUAAUGCCAUUAUCCACAGUCACCCAAUCAAAAUCAUCAAGGCGAGGGGAAGAAGGCCAGCCGGGUGUGCCACAAUUGGAAGCCAGAGGAUUAUUGCACGAGGCAAAAGGUGAGGUGGGUGAGGAGAGAGAGAGGUUGUGGGAAGAACUGGGCUUCUGGGUGUGCCUAGAAGUGGAAGUGGUGGUGGUGGUAUUCGCAGUAGCAGGAGAACUGGAAGAAGAAGAAAGGGGUUCUUGAAUUGGUGGGCCACCAGCAACAGUUCUGGUGACUGCUGCCCUACUCAC